UUUCAUUAUGCGCUUUGGUUGGAGGAAAAAUGCGCUUUCGUGACUUUUUAUGGGGUGUCUGCGCUUUGGAACCACCCCCUCGCGCUUUAGUAUCGCAACACUGCGCUUUAGUACCGCGUUGCGCUUUCGCACCCACCCUCAGAUUUGAUGUGUUGCGACCUGCACUUCAGUAUCGUUUUGUCGAGGUUCCAGCUACUAUUUUCAGCGAGCCAAUCACAAGCCGAGAAAUUGUUGCAGCGCUGUUCCUGCCACGCGGUGGCCGCCAUUACGCCUUCUUCAUGCAUAUCUUCAGCAGUAAAAACUAUGGUUACUGGGACAAACAGCUUGACUGAUUUGUUGACCAAGACUGUUUGUAGUUUGGGCUUUGUUCAACCAUAAACAAAGGAUGGCUGAACAACUAUGUCCCCUGGAUCUUUCAACUAAACCUCUUUCAGGUUUAGCCAUGAAGCUGUUUAAAGUGCACCUUAUAACAUGCCGAAGACUGUUAUAAAGGUAUCAAUGAAGUCAAGAUCCCAUUCCUGCGAGCCACACAGUGACAAAAUAAAUGACCACAGGACAUAUCUCCCAAGCCAGCAUGUGGAGGUAAAUGAAUAAUUAGAUGUUGCUGAGUCCAGGCCCCUCACUGACAGGGAAUCAAUAUAUAAUUUGAAAAUAAAAUUACUUUAUAAUCAAGCUUGCUUAGUGGUUAGCACUUCAUAGUUACUAAGCCAUGAGUGCAGGUUCAAGUCCCAGAUUUGUUAGUGGGUUCAUUCUCAUUAAGGCACAAUGCUCAAGUAUGCAGAUGACCACUCUUCAGCUAUCUACACUUGCAACUUCCUGGAGUUCCUUGAGCUUAAUGAAUGUGACUCUUUCCCAUUGCUGCCAAAACCAACUAUGCGAAUCACAUAAUAUUUUAUGGUUAUUUGACUAAUUUAUACCAUCUCUAGAUUUCCCUUUAUUACUCACACUUAAAAAGUAAAACUUGAGGGCUUAAACUCCUUUAACGUAAUUUAAUUUUCAUGCAUUAAAACAGGGAAUCAAUAUAUAAUUUGAAAAUAAAAUCACUUUAUAAUCAAUCUUGCUUAGUAGUUAGCACUUGAUAGCUACUGUUACCAUAGUUACCAAAGCUUCAUUUAAACAAUAGCCUUCUAAUAUAUUGCACCUCAUUUACAAUUUUACAAUGUAAGUAUAAUUAUAGUUCCAUAAUUAUACUUGAAUUAUUUAUAAUUAUGCUCCUAUGUGUAAUUAUACUUGAUUUUAUUAAGUUUUUGAAAUAAUAUACCCAACCAUCACACCAAUCACUGGACAGGUUUUGCUCUUUCAGUAUGUCCUAUUUCAUACCCUGAUUCAAAUGUGACUUUACAUGACUAAUCAGAAUUAUGCCGCAGGUGGAGGUAAAUGUUGAAGAGCUAGCUCCACCUGAGGCCUCUGCUGCUACCCUUGAAACAGUCUAUCAACCUGAAGAAACUUUUCUCCCAAUUGAAGACCCGAAGCCCCAGGAGAUUAUUCUAAAUGUUGAGAACUCGGCAGAGGUCUUGCCUUGUGAUGGAUUAGUAGAUGUA